ACGGAAGGCAGCAGUGGGGAAUAUUGCACAAUGGGCGAAAGCCUAAUGCAGCGACGCCGCGUGAGUGAAGAAGUAUUUCGGUAUGUAAAGCUCUAUCAGCAGGGAAGAAAAAUGACGGUACCUGACUAAGAAGCACCGGCUAAAUACGUGCCAGCAGCCGCGGUAAUACGUAUGGUGCAAGCGUUAUCCGGAUUUACUGGGUGUAAAGGGAGCGCAGGCGGUACGGCAAGUCUGAUGUGAAAGCCCGGGGCUCAACCCCGGUACUGCAUUGGAAACUGUCGAACUAGAGUGUCGGAGGGGUAAGCGGAAUUCCUAGUGUAGCGGUGAAAUGCGUAGAUAUUAGGAGGAACACCAGUGGCGAAGGCGGCUUACUGGACGAUAACUGACGCUGAGGCUCGAAAGCGUGGGGAGCAAACAGGAUUAGAUACCCUGGUA
rnacentral:rRNA from 1 species